UCCCAACCCCCUAAAUUCUGGGGAGGAGGAUUGGAGAUUUGUUCUCCUAUCUCCUUACUUGACCGCCUCCUGAAUAAACCUUGCUUUCCUGCAAAGCCCGGCAUCUCUGCAUUUGGCUUGCUGUGUGUUGGGCAAAAGAACCUGGUUCAGUAACACAUUUAACCCAUGACACCAGCCCAACCUCAUAACCAGUUAAAGAAAUUAAGUGCUUCCAUCUGUACUUUAUUGCUAAUUGUUAGAUGGAACAAAUUACAGCCCUUUCCCUCUUUUAAAAGAAGUUGUCCUAUUUUGUCUUCUACUUGGUACUGGCUGUGAGAUUGUUUCCUGAAUGUACCAAUGUCUCCAAGCUUGGAAUGGAGAGGCCCACCAUGCAGUGAAGAAUUCAUCUCGCCCAAGGAGAGGUCUGGCUGCUGGGAGGUGUUCUCCUGACCUGGAACAUCCUACCUGAGGGUGUCUUUGUUUUCCCGGCAGCUGGUAGCCUAACCACAUGAUCUAUGAUGGGGGCUUUGGGGUUCAUGGGAUCAUUCCGUCUUUGGAGGGACUGAAGACAAGAGGUUUCAGCUGCAGGAGGAGCUGCAGAUGAAAAGUUGGCCACGUGGACAGUAAAUGACUGAGCCCCGGGAAACACGGCCACACCCAAGGCUCCAGUCAGCUUUCCUGGUUGGCCAUUCUCCAGGAGAGUUGUCGCAUCGUGACUGUGACAUGGAUGACCAGACUGAGGCUCCAUGUUUGCACCCUCCUGGACUCUGCCCCUAAAGUCUCUGUGGUCAGCUGAUUUCCAUCUGCUCCUUUUCUCUGUAAUAAACUACAGCCAUCAGUAUUGCAGACUUGCAGUUGGUGUCAGAAGGAAGGGCAGUCACCCGUUAACUGGGUGGGGCGGGGUGGCCUCCUGCACCCAGGCUUGGGGUCCAUAUCUCUAGGAGACACCCACGGGUGCUGCUGCCGAGGGGCUUGGUGCUCAGACCCUUUCUCUGUGGAGUUAGCUCUUCCUUUGUUUUUGCAAUAACUCGUAUUGUUCCAAUAAAUUAGAUGUUUUUUCCUUAA